rnacentral:lncRNA from 10 species
ACAUUUCUUGCAAGGCAGGUCUACUGGUGACAAUUUUCCUCAGUUUUGAUUUGUCUGAGAAAGUAUUUCUUCUUUUUUGAAGGAUAAUUUUACUCGGUAAAUAAUUCUAGGUUGGAAGUUUUUUCCUCCUUUAAUACUAAAUGUUUUACUCCAUUCAAUUGCAUGGUUUGUGAAGAGAAGACCAAUGACAGUCUUUUUCUUCUUCCUCUACAGGUAAGUGUUUUGUAACCAGAAUAGAGGAGGUCUCAUGGAAAUUUGAAUGGAGAAAAAUGGAGAGAGAACUCAAUCACAUGGAGUGCAGUAGGAGCCAUGUACCAAACUGAAAAGGCUGUAGUCACAUCAGACAAUAGCUGAAGAAUGUGAGAAAGAAAAAUCAAAAGCACACAAAUGAGACUGUGCAGUGAAGAGGCCACAGAGACAACCAUACUGUCUUUUUGUAUCACAAUAAGCAAAGUACUCCACAAGUUAAGAAGAGGUUAUGUCACAGUAAAUCCAUCCUCUCUGGAAGCAGGUAGAAGUAAACAUGCACCAUUCUGAGAAUUUUGCUGCUUAGAAAUUUCUCCUACCAGAUACGCUCUUCUAUCACUCUUAAGUUCAGUCUUCCGGCUGGGUGCAGUGGCUCACGCCUGUAAUCCCAGCACUUUGGGAGGCCGAGGCAGGCGGAUCACAAGGUCAGGAGAUCAAGACCAUCCUGGCUAACACGGUGAAACCCUGUCUCAACUAAAAAUACAAAAAAAAAAAAAAAUUAGCCAGGCGUGGUGGCAGGUGCCUGGAGUCCCAGCUACUAGGGAGGCUGAGGCAGGAGAAUGGCGUGAACCUGGGAGGCGGAGCUUAAAGUGAGCUGAGAUUGUGCCACUGCACUCCAGCCUGGGUGACAGAGCGAGACUACGUCUCAAAAAAAAAAAAAAAGAAAAAAAAAAAUUCAGUCUUCCACAAAGCCCUAAGGCAUAGACACAAUGCAGCCAAGUUCUUUGCUACUAUGUAACAAAAAUGAUCUUUACUCUAGUGUCAGUAAGAUGUCCAUCAUUUCCAUAGGCCAACUCAUCAAAAUGGCCUUUAGUGUUUAUAUUUCUAUCAGCAUUCUGGCCAGACUAUUUAACCAGUCUCUAAGAAGUUCAAGACUUUACCUAGUCUUCUCAUCUUUGGAGUCCUCACCAAAGUUGCCCUUAAUGUUGUCUUCAUUGCAAUACAGGAUUUUUCUAGCCUGCUUCUCCAAAUUCUUCCAGUCACUAUCAAUUACCCAGUUAGAAAUUUUAUAUUUUCAGGUAUCUAUAUAACAUAGUUCCUCUUCUCAGUAUCAAUUUCUGUAUUACUCCAUUUUGUGUUGCCAUAACAGAAUACCAAGGAAAGAGGUUUAUUGAGCACGUGGUUCUCUAGGCUGGGAAGUUCAAGACUGGACAGCUGCAUCUGGAAGCUUCUGGUAAAGGCUUUGUACAGUAUGAAAAUAUAGAGAAACAGAAGGGGAAGCAGGUGUUGUUAAGAGACCAGACAUGAGAGACAGCCUCAUUUUAUAACAGCCAGGGUAACUAAAUCAGUCUGAGGAGAGCAAGAAUUUACUCUUGGAAAAAAGACAUUAACUUCUCUUAACGAUCUAAUCUUAAGGCACAAUGUCUCAACAAUGUCUCACUUGGGAACAAGCAUCAACGUGAGUUUUGAUGGGAACAAACCAUCUUCAAAUUAUAGCAGUUUACUUUUCACUCUAUUAAUUGUGUUCUUUGAUGAAUGAAAGUUUUUGAUUUUGAUCAAGGCCAAUUUAUCUAUUUCUUCUUUUUUGUUAUCUGUACUUUUUAUGUCAUACCUGUAAAAUCAUUGCCAAACUCAAUGCCAUGAAUUCUUUUAUCCAUAUUUUCUCCUAAGAGUUUUAUAUUUUAGCUCUUAUGUUUAAGUCUUUGAUACAUUUUGAGUUAAAUUUUGUACAUGGUGUAAUAUAAAUAUCCAACUUUUGCAUGUAGAUAUAUUUUCCCAAGCAAAAUUGUUGAAAAGACUGUUCUUUUCCCAUCGAAUAAUUUUGGCACACCUGUAAAAAAUAACUGGAUUAUGAAUUCAGGGGUUGAUUUCUGGACUGCCUAUUACUGCCAAUUAGUAUUUAUGCCUGUACCACACUGUUUUGAUUACUGUAGCUUUGUAAUAACUUCUGAAAUUAAGGAGCAUAAGACCUACAAGUGUGUUUUUUCUCAAGAUUGUUUUGGCUAUUCAGGUCCCUUGAGAUUCCAUGUAAACUUUAGGAUGUAUUUUUCUAUUUCUGCAAAAAACAUCAUUGAAAUUUUUAUAGGGAUUUUCACUAAAUCUAUGGAUCAUUUUAUGUAGUAUUGACAUUUUAACAUUAUUCUAAUCAGUGAAAAUGGAUUUCCAUUUAUUUAUGUCUUCUUUAAUUUCUGUCAGCUUCAUUUUAUAGUUUUUAGUGUACAUGUCUUUAGCCUGCUUGGUUACAUUUAUUUCUAAGUAAAUGAAAUUGUUUUUUAUAUUUCCUUUUCAGAUUGUUCAUUAUUAGUGAACAAUGAUAUGCAGCUAAAUUUCAUGUGUUGAUUUUGUAUUCUGCAACAUUGCUGAAUUUAAAUUAGAACUGAGCCCUAUUAGUUUUUUGCCACAUUUUUAGGAUUUUCUGUGUGUAAGAUCAUGUCUUUUAAAAGAAAUAAUUUUAGUUUUAUUUUUCCAAUUUCAAUGUAUUUCAUUUAUUUAUUUGUUGCCUAAUUUCCCUGGUGAGGAGUCUAUUAAAUAGAGGGAUGAAAGUGGGUAUCCUUACAUUGUUUGAUUCUAAGUUUCUUUUUAAAUUAUAAACACAGAAAUAAAAAUGCUGAACAUAUUUGUUUGAUUGAUGCAAUUGAAUUUUAUGUUCUAAAGGUAUGUAUUUUAUGUUUAUGUCAAUUUGCAAAAUAAUUAUAAUUGUCUUUAUUGUGGGAAUUUGGGAUCAGUUACUCAAUCAAAUGAUUGCUCAGUUCUCUAUUUUACUUCUCUCAGUAGCAAAGGUAUAACAGAAGGAGCUUGUGGAAUGCUCAUUAAGUUACAAACAGACUGGUAAUUUAACAAUGGACUGCCAAUAGAACAAUAAAGCCUGUGUAGCUUUAUUGUCUUGAUACAGCGCAUAAUUUUUGACAGAAGCAAUAGAUUUUUUUCAUUUUUCUAAAAAACUUGUUCUCAAGAUAAUAUUUGUGUAGCUCUGCAGGAAUAGACAUCAUCUGCUGAGAGGCAUUCAUAAAAAUAAAUAAUGGGGGAAUUCCCCUCCAGCCCCUAUACACACUUUCUUUGAAAAGCAGUGACCAUCACUGCAUUUGGCUUUUUUAAUUGGCACUGAUUUCCUUUUUUGGCAAAUGAAACUCAAUUUUUCAUACAAGCCAGCCUUCACUGUCUAAUCCUAAAUAUAGGGGCAGCUUUAUCACUUACAUUUGGCAUGGAAGGCUAUACAAAUCUAUUUGGCUUAUUUAAUUCACUGAAAGAGGUAAUUUUCUAAAUAACUUCUAUUGGCCUAAAGGAGGUAAGGUGCUGCCAGGUGGGUAGUUUAUUCUCAUUGGCACAAUCAUAUCAGGACAUGAACGGGAUCCUCACUCUGGGUUUCUAGACACACAAACAAGCAGAACAUGCAACUAAGCAAAGGGAUUUGUACUCUUUCUGUAUUGGUAAGAUUCUCUUAACCUUUGCUGUAUGGAUAUAUAUAUAUAUAUCCCUUGAACAACACAGGUUUGAACUACAAGGGUCCACUUAUACACAGAUUAUUUUUAAUCAAUAUGUUUAUUUAUUAAGGUAGAUAUGUAGCAAAUGCAUAAAAUACACAUAGAUACUAGUCUAUUUACAUGCUAAUCAAUCAUUUAUGUUAUCAGUAAGGCUUCCAGUCAAUAGUAGGCUAUAGUAGUUAAGUUUGAGGAGUCAAAAGUUAUGCAUAAAUUGUCAAUUGCAUGAGAAUUGGCACCCCAACCCCAACAUUGUCCAAUGGUCAAAUGUAUAUAAAUAUAUAUAAAUGUAUACUGUAUAUAAAAUAAUAUUUCUGUUAUAUUAAUGAUUAGGAUUUUUAAAUGUUUGUAUUUUGAAAUAUAACACAUAUAUAUAAUGCAUAAAAUGAAUCUAUAAUGCAACAAAUUAUCACAGAAAUCAAGCAUGUAAUGCUCAUCCAAAAAAAGAAAUAGACCACAAGAAAUAGUUCUUUCUGUGCAAUCUUCACUCCAACCAUCUCCUUCCUCAUGAAAGGUAACCACUACUCUGACAUCUGAUUCUAAAGUUCAAAUUUGCCAUAGAAAUCCUUAAAUAAAUUGAAUAAUAUGUAUUCUU